rnacentral:pre_miRNA from 1 species
AUUAUACUCCCUCCGUCCAAAAAUACUUGUCAUCAAAAUGGAAAAAAAGGGAUGUAUCUAAAACUAAAAUACAUCUAGAUACAUCCCUUUUAUCCAUUUUGAUGACAACUAUUUUCGGACGGAGGGAGUAUAUA